UACGAAGGGGGCUAGCGUUGCUCGGAAUCACUGGGCGUAAAGGGUGCGUAGGCGGGUCUUUUAAGUCAGGGGUGAAAUCCUGGAGCUCAACUCCAGAACUGCCUUUGAUACUGAGGAUCUUGAGUUCGGGAGAGGUGAGUGGAACUGCGAGUGUAGAGGUGAAAUUCGUAGAUAUUCGCAAGAACACCAGUGGCGAAGGCGAUCACCUGGGGGUUGUUCUGACGCUGAGGUGCGAAAGCGUGGGGAGCGAACAGG
rnacentral:rRNA from 1 species